rnacentral:rRNA from 1 species
GUAACACAUGAUCAACUUACCCUAUAGAGAAAAAUAACCUCGGGAAACUGACGAUAAUGUUUCAUAGUUGAAUUGGCUUGGAAAAGUUUUUCGACGAAAGGGGUAAAAAAAAUGGUUUUUAUCUGCUAUAGGAUAGGAUCGUGUUCGAUUAUGGUUGUUGGUGAGGUAAUGGCUCACCAAGCCGAUAAUCGAUAGGGGCCGUGAGAGCGGGAGCCCCGAGAUGGGUACUGAGACAACGACCCAGGCCUUACGAGGCGCAGCAGGCGCGAAACCUCCGCAAUACACGAAAGUGUGACGGGGUUACCCAAAGUGUUCAAUUUUGAACUGUGGUAGGUGAGUAAUGUUCCCUACUAGAAAGGAGAGGGCAAGGCUGGUGCCAGCCGCCGCGGUAAAACCAGCUCUUCAAGUGGUCGGGAUAAUUAUUGGGCUUAAAGUGUCCGUAGCCGGUUUAGUAAGUUCCUGGUAAAAUCGGGUAGCUUAACUAUCUAUAUGCUAGGAAUACUACUAUACUAGAGGGCGGGAGAGGUCUGAGGUACUACAGGGGUAGGGGUGAAAUCUUAUAAUCCUUGUUGGACCACCAGUGGCGAAGGCGUCAGACUGGAACGCCCGACGGUGAGGGACGAAAGCCAGGGGAGCGAACCGGGUAGUAGAUACCCGGGUAGUCCUGGCCGUAAACGAUGCAUACUAG